GUGAAGUUGAUCACACACAAAAUGGCAAGCAUACUAUAAGUAGAUUAAAUUGUCUUUUCAGAGGUGCAGCUCCUGCAAAGAGUAGACAAAGCAGAGAAAAUAUUGAUUCUCGCUCCUCAAGAAGAUAUCUCAUGUCAUCAGAGAGGCACCAGUGUUGAUUUCUGAAGGAGACAUGGAGAGAUGGAAAAAGCUAGCCCAACCGAAACCAAUAAACACUGUCUGUAGAUGGAAAAGGGACUACAUCAUCAGACUGAUUCAGUUCUACAAGUUCAAAAUUGAGGACUCUGCUGAACAUUGAGGAAAAAAUACAGAAUCUGGAGAAGAUGGCAAGAGUCUGAUUCAAACUUCCAGUCUACCCUUAAAGAUGUGGCUAGAACUGAAUCAAGGGAGAGAGCAGUCCUCCUCCACCUGAGAAGAAUAUAUCCAGCUUUGCUUCAGAUGGGCAGGGCAUUGCCAUUAGAUUCUCCAAGCAGGUAGCGACAAUUGAUUUUCAGGAAUCAUGUGAUCCCUCUUGGCAUGUCUACUUCUGCUUUAAUAACACUAUUGAAGAAGAUGAUGUUUCGAGGAGUCUAAAAAGGCGAGGGAUUGAUGCCUUACAUAUGAAGACUCGGGCAGCUGAGGAAAAGUGCAUGCUUUACAAGGAAAUGAGAAGUCUAAGGGGCCAGUCACACCAAAAGCGUUUAUGGCAGUUGCAGGCGCCUUUUUUGAAUGAUAUUCUAUGGGCAGUGUGUGUUUGCGCGCCGAGCGCCUUGCGGGUUUUGCCGCCUGCCGCGCACGCGUUUUUGAAGGAGCGCUGAGAGCGGAGAAGUGCCCGACGUCAUUCGGGUCUUUCCAUUGUCCAAUCGAAUGAGGGGAGAGGCGGGCCUUACGUUGUGGUGAGUGAAGUUUACAGUUGCUUUGAAGAACCGGACUCUACUCGCUCACUCUCUCCUGCGUGUUUCUGCACCUCUCACCCUCAAACAAGGUCAGAGCAAGCGUCCUCUUUUUAAAGUUUCUGCUAAUAUGACAGUUAACAGCAAAAGAGCGCUCACGCUUCAAUAUUUGAUUGACAAGACAGCUGACUCGGUGGUUGCUUAGCAAUAUGAAAAGCCGCGUCGCACUGCUCUUUUUUUUUAAAAGGCAUUGCGUCGCGCCUUGCGUUUGCAAGCGUUUAUAGCGCUUUUGGUGUGACUGGCCCCUAACUGAACACCCCAUCAGGAGCAGGCCUCUAACAUCUGUGCUCUAACAUCAAAGACACUGAGCAGCCUGGUGCAAAAGCUGCUCUCAUUCAACACCUCCAACACCUGGAAAGAAAACUACAUCAAGCCAUUGUGAUGUUUCACCCACAUCUAUCGGACAUUGUUCCUGCAGACAACCCCCACUUGUGUCAGGCCCUCCCCAUGCCAAGCAUACAGACACUGGUAUACAAUGAUAAGAGUGAUAAUGAUGUAAAUGUGGAUAAAUAUGAUAACUAGCACUACAGAUUUUUUGUUAAUUUUUAGUCUGAUAUUGGAUUCUGUAAAAAGAAAGAUGUAAAAUGUAUAGUAUAUGUUGCAGCAUAUCAUAGAAACCUUUAUGGUGGUGUAAUAUAAUGCUCGCCUUACUUGUGCAAACAUGAUGCUUUACUAGAUCUGAUUUAUUUUAAAACGUAGAUACUGUUUUUAAGCACACAUAUUCGCAAUAGUCUGUGUGAGGACAAAAUUGUGUGUUUACCAUUGUGAUGUUACUUAUUUACUGUAAUGUACAAAUGUGGUCAAUGUGUGUAAGGUGUUUUGUUUUUGUGAGCUAAGUUAAAAUGACAAAGUAUUGAAUCUUGAAUCCUUUGAAACAAAUACUGUAAAAGUUUGUAAAAAAUAAAAUGUUUUCCACAAUGAGUUAU